AUCCUAUGAUGUGGACAUUUUCUCAAUAAUUCCUUGUACCUUUCCCACGUAUCAUACAAGGUUUUUGAUUUUAUCUGCCUAAAAGAGGAAAUGUCACUUCUUAACUU